UACGGAGGGUGCAAGCGUUAUCCGGAUUCACUGGGUUUAAAGGGUGCGUAGGAGGGCAGGUAAGUCAGUGGUGAAAUCCCCGAGCUUAACUUGGGAACUGCCGUUGAUACUAUCUGUCUUGAAUAUUGUGGAGGUAAGCGGAAUAUGUCAUGUAGCGGUGAAAUGCUUAGAUAUGACAUAGAACACCGAUAGCGGAGGCAGCUUACUACGCGAUUAUUGACACUGAGGCACGAAAGCGUGGGGAUCAAACAGG
rnacentral:rRNA from 1 species